UGAACAUUCUUGCUCUUGUUCUUGUUUUUCAAUCCGAAAGUUUUGUCUUCCACUUGUUUCUGCUUCUUCGCCAA
rnacentral:sRNA from 1 species